rnacentral:snoRNA from 1 species
CAAAAUGAUGAUCGUUGACCACAACAUCAAUCCGGGUGACUCGUGAGCCAUGGAUAAACAUGCAUCACCAGCUGAAC